rnacentral:misc_RNA from 1 species
UACGAAGGGGGCUAGCGUUGUUCGGAAUCACUGGGCGUAAAGGGUGCGUAGGCGGGAUCUUAAGUCAGGGGUGAAAUCCCGAGGCUCAACCUCGGAACUGCCUUUGAUACCGGGGUCCUUGAGUCCGGAAGAGGUGAGUGGAACUGCGAGUGUAGAGGUGAAAUUCGUAGAUAUUCGCAAGAACACCGGUGGCGAGGGCGGCUCACUGGUCCGGAACUGACGCUGAGGCACGACAGCGUGGGGAGCAAACAGG